GAUGAAGAACGCAGCGAAAUGCGAUAAGUAGUGUGAAUUGCAGAAUUCAGUGAAUCAUCGAAUCUUUGAACGCACAUUGCGCCCUUUGGUAUUCCGGGGGGCAUGCCUGUCCGAGCGUCAUUUGCAACCCUCAAGCCCGGCUUGUGUGAUGGGUGCCGUCCCCUACGGGACGCGCCCCGAAGGCAAUGGCGGCGUCGCGGUUAUCCGAUCAGCCAAAGUGUAUGGGGCUUUGUCACUCACUUUACGGCCCGGACCGGCGCCAGUCCGAAUCAAUCUUUUUUCUAAAGUUGACCUCGGAUCAGGUAGGGAUACCCGCUGAACUUAAGCAUAUCAAUAAGCGGAGGA
rnacentral:misc_RNA from 1 species